AUCAUUAGUUUCUUUGACUCAAAUUUUGUUGGGAGCAACCUUCCAGAAACAACUAAACAGUAUCUUUCCACAAUAUUCACAAGAAGCAUCUAUUCAACUGGCCAGCAUAAAAGAGGUGACAGGAUGAAAGAUCCUUUUCCAUGGAGCUUUUAUUUUAGCAGUGCAUGUGUGCUGUCUUCCAUCAAUGCAUCAGUAUAGGACAGGAGAUUGGAUCUUCGCAUUGGAAUGGUAGAUGACAAAAAGAAGGGAGAUAGUAAAACAAGUGCCUCGUUGAUACCUGAGCACAAACCUUUCACGGAUGGGCAUCAGUGGAGGACAUCAGGCAUCAUAUACGUCAGAUCAAGAGAAUACUUCUACUUCAGGCCAAAAGUAGUGGGGAAUCUUGUACAUUUUAGUUCACAUAUACUAUAGGAAAACAAUCCACUUCUGACCCAACUGUUAAUUGUGGGGCAAAAAAUUGUGAUCUAUUUGUCGAAAAAAAGGUUGUCGAUGCAGUGAAUGUUAUUACCAAGAGGAAAUGCCUAGAAGGGCUUUGAUGAACUUGUAAAAGUAUCCAGUAAGCAGAAAUGAAAUCCCUCUUUUGAGUC